AAUCAACGCUGGCGGCGUGCCUCAGACAUGCAAGUCGAACGCGAAAGUCCCCUUCGGGGGACAAGUAGAGUGGCGCACGGGUGAGUAACACGUAGGUAAUCUACCUUUGGAUGGGGAAUAACAACCGGAAACGGUUGCUAAUACCGCAUAAUGCAGCGGCACCUAAUGGUGACAGUUGUUAAAGCGGGGGAUCGAAAGACCUCGCGUCUAAAGAGGAGCCUGCGGCGGAUUAGCUAGUUGGUAAGGAAUGGCUUACCAAGGCUACGAUCCGUAACCGGCCUGAGAGGGCGGUCGGUCACACUGACACUGACAUACGGGUCAGACUCCUACGGGAGGCAGCAGUCGGGAAUUUUGGGCAAUGGGCGAAAGCCUGACCCAGCAACGCCGCGUGAAGGAUGAAAUCCCUCGGGAUGUAAAC
rnacentral:rRNA from 1 species